rnacentral:tRNA from 2 species
GGAAAGGUGUCCGAGUGGUCGAAGGAGCUGAUCUCGAAAAUCAGUGACUCCAAAAGGGGCCGUGGGUUCGAAUCCCACCCUUUCCGCCA